GUGCCACCACCCGCGGUAGUACGAAGGGGUGCAAGCGUUUCUCGCAAUUACUGGGCGUAAAGCGUGCGUAGGUGGUUGUUUAAGUCUGUUGUGAAAGCCCUGGGCUCAACCUGGGAACUGCAGUGGAAACUGGAUGACUAGAGUGUGGUAGAGGGUAGCGGAAUUCCCGGUGUAGCAGUGAAAUGCGUAGAGAUCGGGAGGAACAUCCAUGGCGAAGGCAGCUACCUGGACCAACACUGACACUGAGGCACGAAAGCGUGGGGAGCAAACAGGAUUAGAUACCCUGGUAGUCC
rnacentral:rRNA from 1 species